rnacentral:rRNA from 1 species
GAUGAACGCUAGCGGGAGGCCUAACACAUGCAAGCCGAGCGGUAGAGUUUCUUCGGAAACUUGAGAGCGGCGCACGGGUGCGUAACACGUGUGCAACCUACCUUUAUCUGGGGGAUAGCCUUUCGAAAGGAAGAUUAAUACCCCAUAAUAUAAUGAUCGUCAUCAAUUAUUAUUGAAAACUCCGGUGGAUAGAGAUGGUCACGCGCAAGAUUAGAUAGUUGGUGAGGUAACGGCUCACCAAGUCAAUGAUCUUUAGGGGUCCUGAGAGUGAGAUCCCCCACACUGGUACUGAGACACGGACCAGACUCCUACGGGCGGCAGCAGUGAGGAAUAUUGGACAAUGGGUGAGAGCCUGAUCCAGCCAUCCCGCGUGAAGGAUGACGGUCCUAUGGAUUGUAAACUUCUUUUGUACAGGGAUAAACCUACCCUCGUGAGGGUAGCUGAAGGUACUGUACGAAUAAGCACCGGCUAACUCCGUG